GUGAAAUUUUUGUCGCUAGAGCUUGCUCAGCGUCCUUCACAUCCAUAACACCUGUGCACUGUUGGAUGGUAUCAAGGCCUUGUGCUUUGAAACAUCCACCUUACACCUAACAUUGAUGUAACAAAUGUAGUCUUAUUAUAACAUAAUA
rnacentral:misc_RNA from 1 species